AAGCGGUGGAUGAUGUGGAUUAAUUCGAUGCAACGCGAAAACCUUACCUACCCUUGACAUGUCUGGAACCUUGGUGAGAGCCGAGGGUGCCUUCGGGAGCCAGAACACAGGUGCUGCAUGGCUGUCGUCAGCUCGUGUCGUGAGAUGUUGGGUUAAGUCCCGCAACGAGCGCAACCCUUGUCACUAGUUGCCAUCAUUUGGUUGGGCACUCUAGUGAGACUGCCGGUGUCAAACCGGAGGAAGGUGGGGAUGACGUCAAGUCCUCAUGGCCCUUAUAGGUGGGGCUACACACGUCAUACAAUGGCUGGUACAAAGGGUUGCCAACCCGCGAGGGGGAGCCAAUCCCAUAAAGCCAGUCGUAGUCCGGAUCGCAGUCUGCAACUCGACUGCGUGAAGUCGGAAUCGCUAGUAAUCGUGGAUCAGCAUGUCACGGUGAAUACGUUCCCGGGUCUU
rnacentral:rRNA from 1 species